AAAAAGCCCGCUUCUGCGUCAGCAUGAGCGGGCUCGGUGCGGAAAAGCCUGUAGCGUCGCCGGUGCGUGGUCCAGAUUCGCCACCGGUUCGCUUUAGCUGUUUCGGGUUCCGACUCAGGCUAACAAUCUAGCCCGUUCAUCCAAACCCGCGUCCGCAAGCUGAUCUCAAAUCGACGCAAACCCAAUCCUAUCACGACCGCCACGCGCUUAUCGCGC
rnacentral:sRNA from 1 species